GACGAACGCUGGCGGCGUGCUUAACACAUGCAAGUCGAACGGAAAGGCCCUGCUUUUGUGGGGUGCUCGAGUGGCGAACGGGUGAGUAACACGUGAGUAACCUGCCCUUCACUUUGGGAUAACUUCAGGAAACUGGGGCUAAUACCGGAUAUGAGCUCCUGCCUCAUGGGGGGGGUUGGAAAGUUUCGGCGGUUGGGGAUGGACUCGCGGCUUAUCAGCUUGUUGGUGGGGUAGUGGCUUACCAAGGCUUUGACGGGUAGCCGGCCUGAGAGGGUGACCGGCCACAUUGGGACUGAGAUACGGCCCAGACUCCUACGGGAGGCAGCAGUGGGGAAUAUUGCACAAUGGGCGGAAGCCUGAUGCAGCAACGCCGCGUGCGGGAUGACGGCCUUCGGGUUGUAAACCGCUUUCGCCUGUGACGAAGCGUGAGUGACGGUAAUGGGUAAAGAAGCACCGGCUAACUACGUG
rnacentral:rRNA from 1 species